CUUUGAUUAGAUUUUGGAUCCUUUGAAACCUGCAGCGACACCUUUCCAUGGCGAGGAAACACACAUUCACACGCUCUCGGGUUUGAUAAUUUCCAAGCUGGCGUUUCGGUCGUCCGGAGUGUGAAAUGUCACGUCCAGGACGGGGCGGAGCUCGGAAGUCCCUCGGCCCCACGAUGCCUCGGCCCUGUCACCCAAGCUGCCGCUGCUAUGUGGCACCUCGGACGGAAAUAGCAAGCGUGACGUGUGUUUUGGUGCCAGAAAUCUUAGCCCGCUGUCUUUGGAGGUCGGCUGUAAACGAGUCCACCUUACAGCUUGCCACCUCCAGGGGCAUUUUAACGAGGCGCCCUCUUGGCCGUCGCUCCACCGUCCUCGUCGGGCCUCCCGCUAACUCCGGCCCGCGUAAAUUAACCGUUAAACAGCAGGAGACAAACCCUUGGCUGCGUUUAUUGUCUUUCCUGCCUGACGCGGCUUCGGCACGACAUGUUCUGGAUGUUCCUCCACCGGACCAACCGGAGCAGACAGCUGAUCCGGUUUGACGUCAGCAGGCCGCAGAUAAAACGCUCUGACCCCCCAAGGAGCCAUCGGUUAGCAUCGUUGCGCAACCCUCAUUAAAAGCCGUUGACCUGUUACUACACCGGACACACGAGGACACCACGCCGCCCCCAAUGGGAUCGAUGUCCAGCGCUUAAAUCAAACCACUCCUCUCUGCUGGGGCAGAAAUAGCUCCUCUGCUCUUUAUUUUACUGAACCAAAUGGCAAUAGGCGGCUAAUAUUAGCUCCAUGCAGCCACAGACACUGGGGUAGCAUCGGUAUUAAUAAACCUUUCUUCAGAGACCGACGUCCAGAAGCAGCAAAAGCAAAACGAUGACUGGACCGACGGACAUCAAAUGUCCUUUUAGAUUAGCUGAAAUGCUACUUUAGCCACUGAACUACAGGCGGUUUUGGCUCAUUUUUCUUCACUGUGGCUCAUUUUUCUCUGCAAUCUAAAGUCCUGCAGCUCCGUGGAAACAGAACAACCACAAAGACGACAGAUAGAAUUACAGAAAACAUUUUUAAAAAAGCAAAAAUAAAAGUUAAACUGCUUUGAGAGUGUGUUUUGUACAAUAUUAGAAGAAAUGGAGGCUCCACAUACUGUAGAUAUUAAACUAUUUACACUAUAAUUCCAAAGUUUUUCACUCUAUAUCAUCUGUACAAAGAUGCUUCACCAUGCUGAAUGUAUCUUCUAACAACUUGUGUCAUUUUGUGUUUCGUUUUAAUCCUUUUGACUCUAGUUUUCGUCAUUUUGUGCCCUGCUUUUGUUGUCAUUUUGUCCAUUUUUGUUGUUUUUAGUGUUGUUUUUAUCGCUUUGUGUCUUGUCUUUGUCACUUUCUGUCUUGUUUUUGUUGCUUCUGUGUUGUUUUGUGGGUGGUUUUUUUUGUUUUGUGUGUCUUUGUAGUCAUUUUCCCUCCUCAUACUGUAGAUAUUUUUCUAUCUCCAUGUUUCCAGCCUCUCCAGACUUUUCCUCUCUACUCUGCUCAACAUCAGUAGAAAGAUGUUUCUCCAUGCUGAAUGUAUCUCCAACCACUUGCUCCUCUGUUCACUGUUUCUGAGCCAUGCUGCAUUUAUUUAUUCAUUCAGUAGGUUGGAUUUUCCUCUCAGUCUCUCUGUGGAAACACCGCCUGCAGU
ensembl:lncRNA